CUUUACACUGCACGACAGUGCGAUAGGGGGAUUCCGAGUGCGAGGGCAUACAGUCCUCGCUUUUCUGGACCGUAAGGAGGUCCAGGAACAAGGGCUGGGCAAGACCGGUGCCAGCCGCCGCGGUAAUACCGGCAGCCCGAGUGAUGGCCGAUAUUAUUGGGCCUSCGCAAAGCGUUCGUAGCUGGCCAGACAAGUCUGUUGGGSCGCAAAUCCACGCGCUCAACGCGUGGGCGUCCAGCGGSCGCAAACUGUCUGGCUUGGGGCCGGAGGACUCGAGGGGUACGUCCGGGGUAGGAGUGSCGCAAAUCCCGUAAUCCUGGACGGACCACCGGUGGCGSCGCAAAGCGCCUCGAGAGGACGGACCCGACAGUGAGGAACGSCGCAAAGCCAGGGUCUCGAACCGGAUUAGAUACCCGGGUAGUCCUGGCCGUSCGCAAACGAUGUCUGCUAGGUGUGGCACAGGCUACGAGCCUGUGCUGUGCCGCAGGGAAGCCGUGAAGCAGACCGCCUGGGAAGUACGUCCGCAAGG
rnacentral:rRNA from 1 species